rnacentral:rRNA from 1 species
CGAUUUUCAAAGCCUUCGGGCCGAGAUGUUCGGCGGAAAGCGGCGGACGGGUGAGUAACGCGUAGGCAACCCGCCCCUCCCAGGGGGAUAGCCACCGGAAACGGUGAUUAAUACCCCAUGAACCCAAAGGUCCGCAUGGACUAUUGGGCAAAGAUCCGUCGGGGAGGGACGGGCCUGCGUCUGAUUAGCUAGUUGGCGGGGUAACGGCCCACCAAGGCGACGAUCAGUAGCCGACCUGAGAGGGUAACCGGCCACACUGGGACUGAGACACGGCCCAGACUCCUACGGGAGGCAGCAGUGGGGGAUAUUGCACAAUGGGCGCAAGCCUGAUGCAGCAACGCCGCGUGAGCGAUGAAGGCCCUAUGGGUCGUAAAGCUCUGAUCUGAGGGAAGAAGAAAGUGACGGUACCUCAGGAGAAAGCCCCGGCUAACUACGUGCCAGCAGCCGCGGUAAUACGUAGGGGGCGAGCGUUAUCCGGAAUUAUUGGGCGUAAAGGGUGCGUAGGUGGCGUGCCAAGCGUGGGGUGAAAGUCCGCAGCUCAACUGCGGUUAGCCCCGCGAACUGGCAUGCUUGAGUGCAGGAGGGGAAAGCGGAACUCCCAGUGUAGCGGUGAAAUGCGUAGAUAUUGGGAAGAACACCGGCGGCGAAGGCGGCUUUCUGGACUGUAACUGACACUGAGGCACGAAAGCGUGGGGAGCAAACAGGAUUAGAUACCCUGGUAGUCCACGCCGUAAACGAUGAGCGCUAGGUGUCGGGGCCUAACAGCCUCGGUGCCGGAGUUAACGCAUUAAGCGCUCCGCCUGGGAGUACGCACGCAAGUGUGAAACUCAAAGGAAUUGACGGGACCCGCACAAGCAGCGAGCAUGUGUUAAUUCGAAGCACGCGAGAUCUUAUAGGGCUGACAUCCCGCCGAGCGGGGGUACUCCUCCGUGCUCGGCGCGGAGACAGUGGUGCAUGUNUCGUCAGCUCGU